GCGGAAGUUAGCUUGGGUAGGCGGCACUUCCUGGCGCGAAGCUGAUCGGCGGUGGGUUAGGAGGAGUCGGUGAGCUGCUCGGACCCGGACGUACCUGUACUGGAGCUUUGACGAGGCUGUCCAGGUGUCUGAAGGAAGAGCACACACACAGUGAUGAACCUUCUGCUGUGACACACGAUGUGCAGUGUCUGUGGGACACCAGUGGAGACAUCCAACAGGCUGUUGGAUAUACUGGUUUGGAGGCUGAGUGGCACAGUGAAAGAGACUUUGCUAUAUAUGGACCAGCAGACAUCUACAUCACCUGGGAGUUUGUCAGAAAUGAAGAAUGUUGGGCUCAAGACCUACUGAAUCAGAAUCUGCAUUUUUAACAGUAUAGCAGCUUCCUGGGCUGGGAACAUAUCACUCAAGACUGCCUGCUUUGCUCCCAAGGUGGGCUGAGUUAUUGUCUGUUUGUUAAAGAGUAUGUUAAGAAAUUUACUUUUUAACUAAUUGGGUUUUAAAAUGCAAUCUUAUUUUCAAGAUGGAAUCCUUCCUGUUUUUACUACAUUGUUUUGGGCUUGCUUGUUAAAUUGCCCAAGUUGCAAAUCACUUGAUUAAAGCUGGAGGAAGAAAAGCAACAUGUGGGUAAAGUCAGAAAAAUAAACUGGGCCCCCCAGCAGGCCAAAGCAAAUGCCACAAUGGAUUAUCUUGCUUCGUUUUUCCCAGAGGCCCUCACCCUACUCUGCCUAAGCCGUGGUCCCUGUCUUAUUCCCCCCUCUACAGAUGGAGACCCUAGCUGCUGCUAGGGUAAACGGGACAACGACUGCUCUGUGAUAGCAGCAUUUUGUAUUAAAUCAUUCAAGGUAGUUGCUAAGGCACCAUGUUAUUAACACAGAUCAAUUUCAAAAUUCUGAUACCUACCUAAUGGUAGGUCCUAAUGUUAUAUUACUAAAGUUAUAGUCAUUGAAAAAAAUGAUAAUGUGGGGAGUCUAUGAAAACAUCAGGAAAACUUUAACAGUCACAAGAAGACUAACAAUGGCAUCUUUGGAGGAAAGUAACUUGUGUCCUUUAUACUGCUUGCUGAUGGCCUUGGGGUUAAGCACUGUCUGUGCAGUUGUAAUUAGACAGAACCCAAGUGGUCAGCUUUGAUUUUGAAACAGAACUGUCAUUGACUUAUAAUAAGAGUUCCUGUGUAGGAGGAAAACUCCCUUAGCAGGACUUGGAGAGAAGGAUGAACUAUGUCAUUAAUUCUAUAUUUCAUUGGUGCUAAGUUCACAUUGUUUUACACUGUCACAUCUCUGAACCCAGAUAUGUCUUACAAUGGAUGACAUUUUAUAAUCACAGCCUGCUGGUGGUUGAAUAUGUUGUCACUGCCUGAGCAUGCACAAACUUGGUGCUUAUUCCUGGUGGGAUGACUUGGCAACUGUUAUCUCCAUGUUUCUGUCAAAAAUUAUAUAAGGACCAUCUGAAAGGGAAACAUGCUGCCUGUUGUCAGAAAACCUGUUGACACCUUCAAGUAAGAUCAAGAAUGUGCCAGCAUCAAAAUGUGUACACCAGGCUUAGAAGCACUCAGUAGUGGAACAGAAAUGCUGUGUCACCAGCACCUGGAUGAGAAGAGGACACCAAUGACUGAGUUGGAAAAUCAUUCAUAAGAAGAAUAGAUACUUUGCGUGUACAGAAAUUAUUGGAUUUCCUUAGUAAAUUUAUUUUGCUUCUAUUUGCUUAUGUACACAAAAGAGUGAUCUAUAUUACUAACAUAUGUCUAAAUCUAAAAGGUCUCAUUCAGUAAAUAUUUAAAAAUUCUAAGUGAUAAAAAAAAGCAUUACAAAUAG